GAUGAACGCUGGCGGCGUGCUUAACACAUGCAAGUCGAACGAUGAAGCCCAGCUUGCUGGGUGGAUUAGUGGCGAACGGGUGAGUAACACGUGAGUAACCUGCCCUUAACUCUGGGAUAAGCCUGGGAAACUGGGUCUAAUACCGGAUAGGAGCGUCCACCGCACGGUGGGUGUUGGAAAGAUUUAUCGGUUUUGGAUGGACUCGCGGCCUAUCAGCUUGUUGGUGAGGUAAUGGCUCACCAGGGCGACGACGGGUAGCCGGCCUGAGAGGGUGACCGGCCACACUGGGACUGAGACACGGCCCAGACUCCUACGGGAGGCAGCAGUGGGGAAUAUUGCACAAUGGGCGAAAGCCUGAUGCAGCGACGCCGCGUGAGGGAUGACGGCCUUCGGGUUGUAAACCUCUUUCAGUAGGGAAGAAGCGAAAGUGACGGUACCUGCAGAAGAAGCACCGGCUAACUACGUG
rnacentral:rRNA from 1 species